rnacentral:rRNA from 1 species
AUUGAACGCUGGCGGCAGGCCUAACACAUGCAAGUCGAACGGUAACAGGAAGAAGCUUGCUUCUUUGCUGACGAGUGGCGGACGGGUGAGUAAUGUCUGGGAAACUGCCUGAUGGAGGGGGAUAACUACUGGAAACGGUAGCUAAUACCGAAUAACGUCGCAAGACCAAAGAGGGGGGCCUUCGGGCCUCUUGCCGUCGGAUGUGCCCAGAUGGGAUUAGCUAGUAGGUGGGGUAACGGCUCACCUAGGCGACGAUCCCUAGCUGGUCUGAGAGGAUGACCAGCCACACUGGAACUGAGACACGGUCCAGACUCCUACGGGAGGCAGCAGUGGGGAAUAUUGCACAAUGGGCGCAAGCCUGAUGCAGCCAUGCCGCGUGUAUGAAGAAGGCCUUCGGGUUGUAAAGUACUUUCAGCGGGGAGGAAGGGAGUAAAGUUAAUACCUUUGCUCAUUGACGUUACCCGCAGAAGAAGCACCGGCUAACUCCGUG